rnacentral:lncRNA from 1 species
GUGAAUUCGGGGCUGAUUUUGGGUUCGGGGUGAAUUCGGGGCUGAUUUUGGGUUUGAUUUUGGGGUCGGGUGAAUUCGGGGCUGAUUUUGGGGGGGGUUUUGGGGUCCCCAGGCCGAAGCCGCGGCCCGAGGGGGGCGGGGGGUGGCAGAAGUGGCCCCGGGCCUAUCACGGCACCAGCGCCGGCGCCGUGCGGCGCAGCCUCGACCGCGGCGAGCUCGUGCCAGGUGGGCACCCCGAAACGGGGAGGGGACCCCGGAAACGGGGAGGGGACCCCGAAAAUGGGGAGGGGACCCCGGAAAUGGGCACCGGGACCCCGGAAAUGGGGAGGGGACCCCAGAAAUGGGGAGAGGGACCCCGAAAAUGGGGAGGGGACCCCGGAAAUGGGGAGGGGACCCCGGAAAUGGGGAGGGGACCCCGGAAAUGGGGAGGGGACCCCGGAAAUGAGGAGGGGACCCCAAAAUGGGCACCGGGACCCCGGAAAUGGGGAGGGAGACCCUGAAAAUGGGGAGGGGGACCCUGAAAAUGGGGAGGGGACCCCAAAACGGGCACCGGGACCCCGAAAAUGGGGAGGGGACCCCGGAAAUGGGGAGAGGGACCCCAAAACGGGCACCGGGACCCUGAAAUGGGCACCAGGACCCCGGAAAUGGGGAGGGGACCCCGAAAUGGGCACCGGGACCCCGGAAAUGGGGAGGGGACCCCGGAAAUGGGGAGGGGACCCCGAAAUGGGCACUGGGACCCCGGAAAUGGGGAGGGGACCCCAGAAAUGGGGAGGGGGAGCCCGAAAAUGGGCACGGGACCUUGAAAAUGGGGAGGGGACCCCAAAAUGGGCACCGGGACCCCGAAAAUGGGGAGGGGACCCCAAAAUGGGGAGGGGACCCCGGAAUGGGCGCCGGGACCCGCAGAAUGGGCACCGGGACCCCGAAAUGGGGAGGGGAACCCCGAGAAAGGGCAUGGGGACUCCAGAAUGGGCACCGGGACCCCAAAACGGGGAGGGGACCCCGGAACGGGCACCGGGACCCCGAAAAUGGGGAUGGGACCCCAAAAUGGGCACUGGGACCCCAAAACGGGGAGGGGACCCCAGAAACGGGGAGGGGACCCCAAAACGGGGAGGGGACCCCGGAACGGGCACCGGGACCCCGAAAAUGGGGAGGGGACCCCAAAACGGGCACCGGGACCCCGGAAAUGGGGAGGGACCCAAAAACGGGCACCGGGACCCCGGAAAUGGGGAGAGGGACCCCUAAAUGGGCACCAGGACCCCGGAAAUGGGGAGGGGACCCCGGAAAUGGGGAGAGGGACCCCGAAACGGG